GAGUCGAGAAGGGGGGGGGAGAGGAGAAAAGAAAGAACAAGGUCAAGUGAAAAAGAGCAUCUCGACCCCUCCCUUUUCCAUGGAGGCCAAUGGUGCCCAUAUCUAACACUAGGGCCUCCAGAAGAGUGGGUGAUUCACACAGCCUUACAACCCCUAUCCACUGUCCACUUGGCUUCCUGGGUACCCAUUCUCUUGCCAGAGUGAAUGAGAAGAGGCUGACACCAAGACACACACAUACUAGCAAGUGAAUCAGAAAAAGACUUCAUGCAGAAAGUCAUGGCUGAACCUGCAUCUUGAAGGAAGGAGGCAACAAGGUGAUUCACUACAGGACCCUGAAUUGCUCGGAGACACGGGACCCAGAUUUCCAGCAGGUUGGGGCAACUUUAUCUCUAAGAUUUUCCAUCCUGACUCUUAUCCAUGGUGGCUAUCUAUCCCAGAAGUUAGUCAUCUGCAGAUGUGGUGAGGCUGACCUCUAUGCCUAGGGUUCAUCACUUCUUUUGUUUCACGAACCCCUUUGACAGUCUGUGGUGAAGCCUAGG